rnacentral:sRNA from 2 species
UCUUAGCCCAGAUAGAAGUGUAAAUCCUUUUGUGCCGGGGUUCGACAUAAAAGAUUGAAACGGAUAGCUGGAAAUAGC